CCUACGGGAGGCAGCAGUGAGGAAUAUUGGUCAAUGGGCGGGAGCCUGAACCAGCCAAGCCGCGUGAAGGAAGAAGGCGCCAAGCGUCGUAAACUUCUUUUGUCGGGGAGCAAAAGCCGGACGUGUCCGGCUGUGAGAGUACCCGAAGAAAAAGCAUCGGCAAACUCCGUGCCAGCAGCCGCGGUAAUACGGAGGAUGCGAGCGUUAUCCGGAUUUAUUGGGUUUAAAGGUUGCGCAGGCGGUUUUUUAAGUCAGCGGUCAAAUCGUGGGGCUCAACCCCAUCCAGCCGUUGAAACUGGGGAUCUAGAGUGUGCGAGAGGUAUGCGGAAUGCGUGGUGUAGCGGUGAAAUGCAUAGAUAUCACGCAGAACCCCGAUUGCGAAGGCAGCAUACCGGUGCACAACUGACGCUCAGGCACGAAGGCGUGGGUAUCGAACAGGAUUAGAUACCCCAGUAGUC
rnacentral:rRNA from 1 species